rnacentral:lncRNA from 1 species
CUGAAAUCCAGACCUCACAAAAGUUGUUAAUUUCUUUAGCUGCCAUUGUAACUACUUUGAGUUCUUCAUCUCAGUCUAACUUCAGGAUUUCCCCAUAUGCCUCCCUGGCAAGCCUCUUUUAAGGAAAUGGACGUGGAAAUGUUGCCCUUGCAUUAGAGGGAAGGAAGUCCAAGAACAAGGCGAAAAAAGGAAUGCUUGCCUUUUCAUGAAUCGUUAUCCCAUCCCUCCUGGGCACGGACAGGAACAACACAAGGAGCAUGCUGGGGGAUGCGUGCUCAUGCCGUAUAUUAUGUGCUCCAGAUUGUUAAGUGUCAACCUCCUGGUGGGGAGAGUUAGAGAGGCAACAACAAAGGCAUAUGCAGCACCAGCGUGAGAUAAACAACACAAGGGCCCUGUCAGCAAGAGCCAGGCAACUCUAACAUCUGGAUGGGAAGAUUCACUAUUCUUUAUUUAAUUAUAAAUAUAUAUAAUUCAUUUGUUGUUAAACAGGCCCCCUUUACAAUGCUUGCACGUUCCCCAUCGCUACAGCUGGAUGGUUACUGAACUAUUUCCAAUGGAGCGCUUGGAAGAAGGCCACCCACUGUAUCGGACAGACAUCUUGUCCUCAGUUGACCCAGUGGGCUUACUGCUCAUGUCUCGCCUGGCUCGCGGACAAAGAGAGGGUGGAGGCUUAUCGCGCAGAUCCGAUCAGCACAGCCAAGCCCCCGGCACAUCAACAGCACAAUCCCUCUCCAAAAAAAAAGUGGAGGCGACCAUAACAAAGUGAACAACAGGACGCUUCAGAAGCCCAGGCGGUUUGCUAAGGGAACGGCAGCACUUUAAUUGUUUUCAGAGGGAUUUAGCCGUUAGCCGCGGAUUUCUGCUAGUCCCAGUCCUUCCUUCAUUACACCACAUUCUCCCAUCCCUGGCACUUGUUGACGUGGGCACACUGCCUUCGUCCCACGUCCCCCACUUCCCUCUCCCAUUCUCCCAAUCCCCCUUACGCAGUGGGCUUCCUCUCCACUUGGCACAGAUGGGCGAAUCUAGCAGAUGUUUUAUCAGUUUUUUUCUCCCGCUCUCCUCUCGCAGAAUGGAUUUAGGUUGGAGAGUUAAUGAGUCAUCUCGCCCAAUGACAGAGGCCCUCUUCACCUACAGCAGACACAGAGGCCCUCUUCACCUACAGCACACACAGAGGCCCUCUUCACCUACAGCAGACACGGAGGCUAACCAGGUUAUACCUGAAUCGGAUGAUCAAUUUCUCGGCUAAGUUGAAAUCUACAGAUUGCGGGCAGAAGGGAGUGUGACAGCCUAAGGACCCUGCUGUCAGGGCAGAUUGAUG